AGGGAUGUGGCGGACAUCGGGCUUCACCAGAGCCAUCCUGGUCUUAGAGCACGUGUUCUGAGCAGAUAGGCCUUUCUAGACUAUACCGCUGGUACAGUAGGAGAUUGAAGGCUGCUUCUCCAUGAGCCUAGGAAGGAGAGAAUAUGAAUGAGAAACUGAUUGUAUCCUAAAGUGAAAAGGGAAGAGCUUCAGAAAUCUACACAAGUGAAACAAAGAGAUCAGAAAAAAAAAGUGAGGGGGGGGGGCGGGCGCUAAGCUCAGCCUCAGCCAUACAGUUCCCUGACAAGGAUGGGGAGGCAAAAUGGUAAGCCAAACGAAACUCAGCCAGUCCUAUACCCAGGACAAGCCCACAACCCUUGCAAGCCUUAAAUCCAGGUUUGAUGCAACAGUAAUUACCACAGCAGAAAAAUUCAACAGCAGAAUCUCAUCUUGUCACACUGUAUGACUCAGAGGACAGUAGCCAGAAGCAAUCUGAAGGGAGAAUCUAUUUUUAAAAAGAGCUACCUGGGGACCUGAAUCCAGGGAGCAUCCACAGAGCCUCAACCUGUUAGCACCCCGAGAUAAAGGGAGAUCCAGACAUGCUGUGUGGAGAGCAGGAGAGCCAGUCACCACCAAACCAAAGGAUACAGGUAACAGUAUGUUCUUAGGCUGGGAAAAGCAUGGAGAAAUUAUUAUAUGGGUAGGAGACCCAUGGGUGGAUCAAAUUCUAGAGUCACCUACCUGUUACAACUGUUAGUGCUUAAGGAUACUGAAGUUCCAAGGGGUGUUUCUGUUACCCACAGCUGGAUCCCUCCAGCCAGGUGGUUAGUAUUCAGGAGGUCUUGUAAGGAAUGAAGCCGGGGCCUCUAGCUGUCCCAGUCUCAGUGCUGUGGCUGCAGCUCAUACCCCAUUGCAUUUAGGAGACAUUGUUCAGCUAAAACACUAGUUAUCCCAGCAGUGUGUUGUGGAGAGUCUGGGCAGAGUGAGAAAACCUGCCUAGUCCACAGAAUGUAAAACUUGACCAGCAGACAUUCCUGUUGCACACAAAAAAAAGGAAAACAGCCACCAUGAAGACAGAUCUGGGAGACAGCAGACACUAUCCGUAACCAUUCCGCAGCAUCCUAGGAAAGACCAGAGUCUCCAGUCAGCUGACACCCCCUCCUUAUCCUGCGCACACAGACAGUCUUUUUCUUUUUCUGAACUCUUUAUUUUUUAGAGAUUUUAAAUUUUGGGUAUGUGUGUGGGUAAGUGCACAUGAAUGGCAGUUCCUGGAGAGGCCAGAAGCAUGAGCUACCCCUGAAGCUGGAAGCAGUUGUGCGUUGCCCAACAAUGUGGGUGUUAAUACUGAAACUCGGGUUCUCUGCAAGAGUAUUGUGUGCUCUUAACCACUUAAUUUGGUCUCCAGUUUUUGAGAAACUGGAAAGAAGCCACUCUAAUGCGCCUCAUCUUCCCAGGAAGAACCCCUUCAUUCCCCAACCUAAGCCCCCUUGUUACUCAGCCUCUCUGGGUCUGUGGACUGUAGCAUGAUUAUCCUUUACAGCUAAUAUCCAGUUAUAAGUGAGUACAUGUUUCUACAACGUAUUAUAACAUGUCAGCAAUACAAAAAAAAAAAAGUCUUAGGAUAGCUCAGUUGGUAGAGCAUUUACCUAACUGAGGCCACAAGUUCAAUCUCUAGCACAACAAAAAUUGGUUAUAGCCAUGCACACCUAUAAUUGCAGUACUUGGGAGGUGAAGAAAGCAGGAAUAUCAGAAGUUUAAGCUCCAUAGUGAGUACAAGGACAUUGAGGGAUACACGAGAGCCCGUCAAAGAAGAAGAACAUACAAAGUAAAUAUUUAAAGCUGUAAUGAAAAAAACAUUAACUCACUUAUAGAGGCAGAAGAACAUCAGACUGCAUCAGCAAUCCUCAAAUCCAGGGAAGCAUGGAAUGGUAUAUUUCAGUCCUGAAAGAAAAUAAUUCCCAUCAAGACUUCUGUAGCUAACAAAGCUAUCUUUUAAAUUUGCCAGGCAUUUCAAGUCAAGCACAGACUAAUACUGCGCAUGACCAUCAGACCGAUGUAGGAUAAAAGAAUGUUAUACAAAGGAGAGGGAAAGUCUCAGUCGCAACAUCACAAAAAAUAAUGAAUUUCGUGAGAUGAAUAGCUGAACAAAGGAAAACUAACUAAGAAGGAAUCCAUCAUGACCUACACAGUCAUCCAGCGAGCCUCUCAUACUGAUAGGGGAGGAAGUCAAAAUUACAGUAGUUAGUAUGCAUCUCUCAUACUAGUACCCUUAAAUAUAAAUGACCCCACCUUGCCAAUAAAGUGAUGCAGUAUAUCUAACUGGACUUAAAAAAACUAUAUCCAACUAUCCAUUGACUGCAAGAAACACAUCUCACUGAUGAAGACACUAACAGAGUCAAAGGAUGGAAAGCAAGCCAUGGAAGCAAAUGCAUGCUGGUAAAGCCAUUCUAACAUCUGAUAAAGUAGAUUUCAAAAUUAAAGAAGGCCUCUACAUAUUAAUAAAGGAGAAAAUACAUAAGACACUAAACAAUUGUGUAUAUGUAAAAAAUGAAUCCAUUUUUUCUUCCCACUCCCUGCUCCCAGAAUGACAACUCUGAGCUGAUUUAUUAAUAAAUGCCUUGGCCACAAGCUUUGGCUCAUUCUCUGA